UACGUAGGGUGCAAGCGUUGUCCGGAAUUAUUGGGCGUAAAGAGCUCGUAGGCGGUCUGUCACGUCGGCUGUGAAAACCCGAGGCUCAACCUCGGGCCUGCAGUCGAUACGGGCAAACUAGAGUACUGCAGGGGAGACUGGAAUUCCUGGUGUAGCGGUGAAAUGCGCAGAUAUCAGGAGGAACACCGGUGGCGAAGGCGGGUCUCUGGGCAGUAACUGACGCUGAGGAGCGAAAGCGUGGGGAUCGAACAGG
rnacentral:rRNA from 1 species